AUUGAACGCUGGCGGCAUGCCUUACACAUGCAAGUCGAACGGUAACGGGCCUUCGGGUGCCGACGAGUGGCGAACGGGUGAGUAAUACAUCGGAACGUGCCCGAUCGUGGGGGAUAACGAGGCGAAAGCUUUGCUAAUACCGCAUACGAUCUACGGAUGAAAGCAGGGGACCGCAAGGCCUUGCGCGGACGGAGCGGCCGAUGGCAGAUUAGGUAGUUGGUGGGAUAAAAGCUUACCAAGCCGACGAUCUGUAGCUGGUCUGAGAGGAUGAUCAGCCACACUGGGACUGAGACACGGCCCAGACUCCUACGGGAGUCAGCAGUGGGGAAUUUUGGACAAUGGGCGCAAGCCUGAUCCAGCCAUGCCGCGUGCAGGAUGAAGGCCUUCGGGUUGUAAACUGCUUUUGUACGGAACGAAAAGCCUUCUUUUAAUACAGGAGGGUCAUGACGGUACCGUAAGAAUAAGCACCGGCUAACUACGUG
rnacentral:rRNA from 1 species